UACGUAGGGCGCAAGCGUUAUCCGGAAUUAUUGGGCGUAAAGAGCUCGUAGGCGGUUUGUCGCGUCUGCCGUGAAAGUCCGGGGCUCAACUCCGGAUCUGCGGUGGGUACGGGCAGACUAGAGUGUGGUAGGGGAGACUGGAAUUCCUGGUGUAGCGGUGAAAUGCGCAGAUAUCAGGAGGAACACCGAUGGCGAAGGCAGGUCUCUGGGCCACUACUGACGCUGGAGAAGCGGAAAGCAUGGGGAGCGAACAGG
rnacentral:rRNA from 1 species